GAUGAAGAACGUAGCGAAAUGCGAUAAGUAAUGUGAAUUGCAGAAUUCAGUGAAUCAUCGAAUCUUUGAACGCACAUUGCGCCCCUUGGUAUUCCGAGGGGCAUGCCUGUUCGAGCGUCAUUAUAACCCCUCAAGCUCAGCUUGGUGUUGGGGCCUGCCGCACGGGCAGCCCUUAUAAUCAGUGGCGGUGCCAUCUGGCUCUAAGCGUAGUAAUUCUUCUCGCUAUAGAGUCCCGGUGGAUGCUUGCCAUUAACCCCCAAUUUUCUAUGGUUGACCUCGUAUCAGGUAGGGAUACCCGCUGAACUUAAGCAUAUCAAUAAGCGGAGGA
rnacentral:misc_RNA from 1 species